rnacentral:pre_miRNA from 1 species
GAAGAGCGUAUUUUUGCAUCUUUUAUGUUGAACGCUCGAUCGUCCGACUUAUUUAAAAAAGUUUUAUGAUUAAUAUUUUUAUUGUUAUUAGAUGAUGAAAAAUAAAUACUAUUUUAUAUGUGACUAUUUUUUUAUCUUUUUAAUAAUUUUUUUAAAUAAGACUAACGAUCAAACGUUGGACACAGAAAAUAUACUUAAA